UCUCACUUCUCGGCAAAUAAGUGAUUAUGAUGAUUAUAUUAUAUUAAUAAAUUAUAAUUUAUUACGAUCCACGAGCGCGGUUAACGUGAAACGACAACGACAAUAUUAUAGUGUCGUGAUGUGAUCGUCACACGCACGACACAUUAUAAUAAUAUUGAAGACAACGAAUGUAUUAAUAUAUGUAUAGUAUAUUAUUGAAGAUAAUCGCCGUUCGGUGACCGGAAUCGACAAAAUCCAAAUACGCGCCAUAUUAUCAGCUAUAUUAUGUAAUAUGUAUAGCAUCAGUCGGACCGGGAGGACGUGUGCCGCCGAGAGAAGCGGUGCCAGCGGCGGCAAACGGUCGUCGCGGAAACGGAAACGGUCUGACGGUGGCGCGCGCCUUGAAUAUCUAAUUGGGCCGAAACUUCCGAAUUCGAUCGCACACGAAAUUCGGAAACGCAGUGGGUCCGUCGGCGAGACAUCCGGUAGUGUACGUCGUCGUACGUAGGUACACGAUCGCGGUAUUGACCGAAAAUAAAACGAUGAUGACGACGACGACGACGACGAUGAAGACGACGCGCGACGGCCGGUAAACGCGUGGCAGCCGGUGUACACAGACGGAUGGUAUAAAACCGUAUUUUCGGGGGACACGGUGAAUCUGCCGGGUGUCAGGUAAAGAUACCGUCGUCGUUUCGGUGACUAUAUAGGUAACGUGUGUAAGAUUGACGGCGUGAUCAGCGGCGGAGGAGGAUCGUGGAAACAGCAGCCUCGCAGCAGCCCGUCGGCCCGUCAGAAACAGCAGCGGCCACGGACAGAACCAAGCAAAGCAGCUGUUGCGUGCACCUGGUGCCCAGGACGAUGACGACGUCGACAACGUCGACGACGACGGUGAAGACCUCGCGGGCCUUAACAUACACACACACAGCCACAGACACGUUUGGAUGAGGAGACGGCAGCUGGUCGAACGGUGAACAUUAAUAAUAUAUAUACAUAAACGCAUGUACACGAACCCGAGGAAGACAGUCGCGGGGCACAGACACACACACUACUAUACGAAUAAAAGGUACCUUUUUUCACCCCCCGCCCGCCCCCGCUAACCCGAUCGCGACGCACCCCGACCGACCGGUGUAAUAAUAUAAUAUAUAAAUAUACGAGUUAUAUAACAUGGCGAAACGCGUAUGUGUGUGCAUGUAUAGGUCCAACCGUGAUUUUCCCGCCAAAAAACCUCACCAUAUAAUAUUGACCUCGCCGGGCCGUCGGCACUCGGCACCCGCACACCACCUGCACACGCGACCUUAUACACCAAGAUUCCCGCCAAAAUACACCUGCUGCUGCCGGUUCUCUCUUUCUCUCUCUAUAUUAUAGAUACCUACCUACCUAUACCUUUAUUAUCACCUGCUUUUUUAUUUUAUAUAUGUGUAUUUUUUCCUUGCUGCCUGUGCUCGCGAACGUCUAUCGUUUCUCGACGUUCUCGUUGUAUACCUAUAUAUGUAUAUUAUUAUAAUAUAAAAUACAUGUGUGUGUGUGUGUGUAUGUGUAAAAAUCGGUUCUCCUAUACACUGCAACAGCUGUUCCGGCCACGGUGGCGUAUACAAUGAAAUAAUAAUAAAACCCUGUUGCUUGGCCAACAUAAAUAGAUAUACAAGCUUAUAUAAUUAUAUAUAUAUAUGAAGUAGGUUUAUGAUAUUAUGUGCAGUAGAAAAUUUUACCUAAAGUGCAGUUUUUUAGUGUGGUGUCUGUACGCAAAAAAAUGUAUAAUGUUCCAGACGACUGCGUCUAGAUAUAUAAUAUAGCCUAUAGGUAAGUAUAUAUAACUGAUGAACCAGCACUCGUGACAAGCCUAUACGAAGACAUACAACCUAUAUACACUGCUUAUUGUACCUAACCUUAAAAUAUAUAUUAUGAGGCCAUUACGUUCUGUAUAAUAAUAUAUUAUGUGUAAGACGCGCCCUGCAGACGUCGACCGUGUUACGCAAUAUCAUCGGGUGCUAUCGCGGUCCAGACGUACGCCGGGGUGUGCCGUGCUGAAGGUCAGACGACCCCCGUGGGAGAAGGACGUCGUCAUAGUAAAUAAUAAUAAGGGCUCGGAUUUAUGAACAUAAUAUAUAACUAUGAUGUGAGAUCACGUAUAUUUUUCAAAAUCACGAUUGGCCGAUUUUGACACGCGUUUCAAGAUACUUAAAGCGCUAUUUUUUUUUUUUUGUACAGACAGUUAUAUG